rnacentral:rRNA from 1 species
GAGGGCGACCGGCCACACUGGGACUGAGACACGGCCCAGACUCCUACGGGAGGCAGCAGUGGGGAAUAUUGCACAAUGGGGGAAACCCUGAUGCAGCGACGCAGCGUGCGGGAUGACGGCCUUCGGGUUGUAAACCGCUUUCAGCAGGGAAGAAGCGCAAGUGACGGUACCUGCAGAAGAAGUACCGGCUAACUACGUGCCAGCAGCCGCGGUAAUACGUAGGGUACGAGCGUUGUCCGGAAUUAUUGGGCGUAAAGAGCUCGUAGGUGGUUGGUCACGUCUGCUGUGGAAACGCAACGCUUAACGUUGCGCGUGCAGUGGGUACGGGCUGACUAGAGUGCAGUAGGGGAGUCUGGAAUUCCUGGUGUAGCGGUGAAAUGCGCAGAUAUCAUGAGGAACACCGGUGGCGAAGGCGGGACUCUGGGCUGUAACUGACACUGAGGAGCGAAAGCAUGGGGAGCGAACAGGAUUAGAUACCCUGGUAGUCCAUGCCGUAAACGUUGGGCACUAGGUGUGGGGGGCAUUCCACGUUCUCCGCGCCGUAGCUAACGCAUUAAGUGCCCCGCCUGGGGAGUACGGUCGCAAGGCUCAAACUCAAAGGAAUUGACGGGGGGCCCGCACAAGCGGCGGAGCAUGCGGAUUAAUUUCUAUGCAACGCGAAGAACCUUUACCAAGGCUUUGACAUACACCAGCACCGUUCCUUGGAAAGAGG